rnacentral:lncRNA from 1 species
AUGGAACGCUUUUUUUACAGCAAUGGCGGCUCGUGGAGCCUCUCAAUAGUUCCCGGAAGUAGCAGCAAACCGAUGCCGCGCCGUAGAGAUGCAGCAGAACAAACCGUUUGCGACGCACUUUUAAAAGACCCAGGUCUAGGGGUGCAUCGUGGAGCAGGGCCCUCCUCUUUUUGACCACAGGACGAUGUACAAAGAUUGUGGGAAUAGCAUCUGGUCUCAGCCUACUCUUGAAUUUUUUGGUCAUGACAAAUUGCUUUGCCUCAAUUUGCCUGCAGAGUGACUCCAGUUUAGUUUCCACAGACAACUUUUUUUUUGUCUACCCACAUACAGUACAUACACAUGGUGGUUAAAUGCACAGUUAUAGGUAACACUGAUGACUCCCUGCAUUGUCUCACCCUGAGUCUCAGCUCCCUGGGUUUUGCAAGGCUUUGUGUGUUCCUUAUUUCUAGUAAAUCAUUUUCAAUGUAAGAAAGUGCAAAUAAAUUUAAGUAUAAUUACCUAACAAUUUUUUGUUGUUGUAAUUUUUAUUUAUAUUUAGAUUGCUCCUGCUGACUUGAGCCAACCAUUAUUUUCUCCUCUCCAUGUCAGCGGGGAAGCCAUACAUUCGCACACCUUCCUCUGACCGAGUGGAGCAUCCCCAUGCAGCACAGUAAACCACGGUGGAGACUAUGCAAGGACAACAUGAAAGAAAGGACACAUACAAAAUGCUUGGCAUGCUAUUAAAUUUAUUAGAAAUGUAUUCAUGAAUUGCUGUAAAUAGUUAAUUGUAUUUAUUUGAAUAAAAAUACAAAGUGAUCUCAUAAUAUAUAAUUACAAUUUAAAAUAACUGUUUUCUAUUUUAAAAUGUAAUAUACUCCUGUGAUGCCAACCUGAAUCUUCAGCAUCAUUACUUUUGAAUGGCAGUGUACAUGUUUAUAUACGAGUAUGCUUAAGUUGUUUUAAACCUGAAUAUAUUGUGUACAUGAAUAAGUAUUGUAAGAAUUAUACUAGAUAUAAUAGAUAUAUUAUUUAUAAUACAUAAUUAUAUUAGUAUAUGUAAUUGUAAGAAUUAUAAACAGUAAGCUUCAUUUUACAUUUAUUUAACAUGCUAAUUACUGCUGCUAACAGUUAAUUGACCCAUAGUGUGGAGCUGAAAAUCACCUGUCACCAGCCUGUCUCUCUACUACCUGAAAGUCGUCAAUAUGACACGAGUUAACAUGAGAUAAGUGGAAAAAAAGGACAAUAUGUAACGUAAAAAGGCAACAGCAACCCGUGUUUAUACAACUUAACGUUAGCAUGAAAUACGUUUUUAAAAUAACGGUACUUGAACACAUCCUCAAAUAUUACCCGAUUUGAUAUUUUAUAAACAUCAUUGCUGUAAUUAUAUAUACUCAUGCUUCAUACAUAUGUCGGUGUGUUGUAUAAAUAUAUAAAAUAAAUGCAUUUAUUGACUCCUUAUUACCAGAAAUCGCAGUUCUGUCACUCUACUCUAUCAGUUUGAAUGGCCGCCAAUGCACUUCCUGGAACUAUUUGAAGUCUACACGAAUCACGUGACAAACAAACAUUUCGAACUUCCGUUGUCGCAACUCUCUCUCUAUAUGGCUCUGGGUGCACCUAUAAUAAGUGUUUAUAUUCGGACUAUUUUAGAUUGCUUCGGGGAUACCGCGGCGGAGUAACCCAGUACCUUUGUGAUUCUUCAUAGACAUAAACAGAGAGAAGUAGUUCCGGCUACGAUGUUCUUCCGCAAGACGCAAGCAGUUCUGUUUAUUAACCGCUAGAGCGUCAAAAGUUCCCUACCGCAGCUUUAAUACCUUUAUUCAGCAAGGAUGCAUUCAAUUCCUCAAAAGUGACAAUAUGACAAUAAAGGCAUUCAUUAAUAUUAUAAUAAAAACUAUUUUGAAAAGACUAUUUUACAAGGUGUUCGUUUGAGCUUUCUAGCUAUUAAUCAAUCACAAAGAAAUUGUUUCAACAAAAAUAUUUAGCAGCACAACCAAUUUUAACCAAUAAUAAUAAGAAAUGUUUCUUGAGAACCAGGCACAUCAGAAUGAUUUCUGAAGGAUCACUUGACACUUAAAUUAUACUAACACAAUUGUAACAAAUUUAAUUUUAAUAUUAUUGUAAUAUUACACAUUACUGGUAUUGCUGACCCAAUAAAUGCAAUAUUUGAGAGCAUAGCAUACAUUUUUCAAAAGCAUUAAAAAAUGUUAUUGACCCCAAAUUUUUUAUUGUAGUGUAAUACAAUGACAAUAAAAUAAGAGUGAUUUUUUUCUCUCCCCACCAACAUUUACUUAACACAAACCUGCAGUUCUGAAACUGGUGAAGAACUUCUGUUAUCCACUAGAUGUCAGUGUUUAUCUAUGACAAAGCUUUUUCCUUCCUCUCAAUGACUGCCAGAUUGACUAGUAAAUAUAAAAAAGCUUCAAAUGCUGCUCGGAUUCUAGAGAUAGCUUUACUUUGCUUUGAUAUUUAAACGCAG